rnacentral:rRNA from 1 species
UGCCAGCAGCCGCGGUAAUACGGAGGGGGUUAGCGUUGUUCGGAAUUACUGGGCGUAAAGCGCACGUAGGCGGAUUAGAAAGUUGGGGGUGAAAUCCCAGGGCUCAACCCUGGAACUGCCUCCAAAACUACUAGUCUUGAGUUCGAGAGAGGUGAGUGGAAUUCCGAGUGUAGAGGUGAAAUUCGUAGAUAUUCGGAGGAACACCAGUGGCGAAGGCGACUUCCUGGGCCAAUACUGACGCUGAGGUGCGAAAGCGUGGGGAGCAAACAGGAUUAGAUA